AGUUUUGCUGCACUGGAAUCCCCAGCUGGUGGCGCACAGAACUGUCCUUGUUUUACGUGCUCGAUCCCGAGAGGGGGAACGUCGACACGUUAGCCUUCCGUCAGUGCCCGCAGAGUGGGUGACGAGACUGUAAAGAUGGCGUCUCUGAGAUAUGUGUCUCUGAUUUACAGGAGUAGAUGACAACGAUGACACCGUUAUCACCGUAUGACAGCACCAUUUCUACAAUGUACAGCUAAAACGACAGUCAGAAAGGAUUUCACAAUUUUAAGUGUGCGUGUAUACAAAAAAGUCAAACUAAAAAACAAAGCAGCCCAUGGAGGAUAUCAACUCCAACAUUAACGCAGAUCUGGAGGUGCGGAAGCUGCAGGACUUAGUGAAGAAGCUAGAGAGACAGAAUGAGCAGCUUCGGACCAGAUCCACUCAGCUUACCUCAUCGGGUGGGGUGUUGGGAAGUUCAAGACCCCCUAACAGCAGCCCCCAACUGUUCCAGUCGGCGGCAGGGCUGGCGGGUUUUCAUGGGGUGGGGUUCAGAGGGACAAGGGGUUUUGGGGCGUUUGAAAACGCCAGUUGUAUGAGUCCCAACCUAUCUGUGGACGAUACAGACUACCUUGGGAGCGCAAGUGUCGGCGGUUUGGUAGCCGCUGGCUCAUUGUUUGCGGGUGCUGGGGAUGUUGGCGAAGGAGAGAGAACUAUCCUGGAUGAGGUGGAAAUCCUCAGUCUGGAGGACACCGAUUGUCUCGGUGAAGAGGACAGCUGGUUGUAUCAAUCACCAAAGAAGAAUCCCACCUCAUUGCGGAAGGCUGUUAGUCCACUCGCCUGGUGCAGACAGGUGCUGGAUCAUCCAAGUCCUGAUGUAGAAUCAGCAAAAAGAUCAUUAAUACACAGGCUAGAACAAACCAUGUCAGCAAACAAGAGGAGAAGUCUCUAUGGCAGUCCAUACAACACAACAGCUGGUUACUCGAGCCCUUACAGUCCCAGCACAGGGAAUAGCCCAUACAGCAGUGGCUUCAACUCCCCGUCUUCCACCCCGCUGAGGAUUCCCAUUGUGAAGCAGCUGGUGUUCCCUGGCAGUUCAGGUAAUUACAAAAGCUCUACAGAAAGGAACCCGCCCAUCAGCCCCCAGUCAUCGGUGGACAGUGAGCUGAGCACCUCAGAGAUGGACGAGGAUUCGGUCGGGUCUGGGUACAAGCUGAACGACGUCACAGAUGUGCAGAUUCUAGCACGAAUGCAGGAGGAAAGUCUCAGGCAGGAGUACGCUGCCACAGCAUCACGCCGCAGUUCAGGCUCCUCUUGUCACUCCCUCCGGCGGGGCACCUUCAGCGACCAGGAGCUAGACGCCCACAGCCUGGAAGACGAAGAGGAGGCCGUCCACCCGACCUUCCACACCCCCAUCAAUCGCUUCUCCCCGUCACCCCGGCACUCCCCACGUCCAUCUCCCCAACACUCCCCCCGCAACUCCCCACGUUCCCACUCUCCGGCACGCUCCCUGGAGUACAGCCGCGCCUCUCCACAGCCAGUCAUAAGCCGUUUGCACCAACCACGCCUGUCCUUGCAAGGACACGCCCCUGACAUGCAGACUAGUUCUGUCAAGAAUGAAGAAAAGCUAAGGCGUAGUCUUCCCAACCUCUCUAAGACAUCUGGUGUCCAGGCAGCAGAGCCUGUUAAAAACAGCAGAAGUUGCGACUCAAAUAUUCAAGUGCCAAAUGGUGGAGUACCUCGACUUCAACAGCAGCCGUCAGCCAUACCUUCCCCCAGCAAACUGCGACCUCCUGCAGCUCCAUCCCCCCUGUCCUUGCGGCAGCCCAUCAAAGCGAUGCUGAACCCUGGGACCUCUUCCCCCACUCCUGCAGGAGCCCCUACCACCCCCACCCGAUCCAUCGGGUCACGCAGCGGCCUCCCGCGGCCCAGCAACUCGUCCGGAGGAGGAAUACCAGUGCCUCGCAGUAAACUUGCACAGCCUGUUCGAAGGUAUCUCUAUUGGCCUGGUGCAUGAAGUCUGACUUCCCAUGUAUAAUGCACACAAAUUAGAUGGGCUCAGUUUUGGCAAGUCAUUGCCAGCUCCCAAGACAUAUGGUGGUAUGAAAGAUGAAAGCUGGAAAGAAGGUUGCUACUGAAUGAGUACCAUGAAGAGCUAUGAGCUCACUUCUACAACCUUAAGACUUGCAACAGACUGUUCACGUGUGACUUGCAGGAUUGAAGAGGAAGAGGUGGAGGGUUGAAUCCUAGAGCUCUGUCAUUUAAUCAGCACAAACUGGCAGAUUUAUAAAGCAGCACUUUAAUGACAUUCAGAAUUUUUGUAUUUUUUUCGUAUUCAUACAAUCAAUUUCCAUGGAAUUCUCAUUUUUACUGUGCUUAUGUGGACCCCACCAUACCAUUCAGAACGGUAAAGGUCAAUGUCUGGGCACAAACCCAGUGAAUGCCAAAGAGAAAUGCUGACUACCAAUAGCAGUAAAUGAGAACAGUGAAGUCUGGAGGGUUUCAUUCUGCACCACUAAUCCAGUAUGGCACAUAAAACAAUACAAUACAGGAUUAUGUGUAUUACAUCAAGUACCAAGACCACUGCAUAAAACCUUUUUUUAUAACAAGUCGGUGCAGAAUUUGUGAGAUUAUUAUACCAUGGCAACUUGUAUUCUGAUCUGUAGCAUUUCAGGGGGAAACUAUAUGUUUGUUGUGUAUUCAACUUGCAUUAUUUGGUAAGGUUUACAUUGACAUAUCAUCUGAGGGUAUUGGACUUUUUUUAGGGGAAUGCCAAAGGGCUUGGGUUUGAUUUCUAGGAUAUUUUUUCUGCACUGUAUGUUCUGGCUCGGGAAAGAGUUACUGGUGUCUUGCUAACUUAUACACAGCAUGUUAAGCAGGUGAGGGGACAUUUUUAAUAACAAGUGUUUCCUUAGAAGUAAAAGUCAGAAUCAGAACUUGUCUAGUUAUUUUAGUUUAACCACACCACGGUGUUUAUACCAUGGAACUGCAUGUUCUCUCAAAACUAUGCACUUAUUUCAUAAUCCUAAAAUGUACUGAAGUAUGUGAUUUUUAAACCCUGUAAUAUAUUGGAGGUACAGUUUAGAGACAUAUCAUGUGGGAACUGUAUUUGUGACUACAUAAGGACAUAUCUACAAUGAUGCUUAAUAUGUUAACCUACAUUAAACGUCUGGUGUAGGGAAAGUUGCAGAGGAGUAGUGUGGUAAACGUUGGAGAUCUUUUAAUCCUACUGUAGCAGUGACCCAUUUCAUGCAUGAAAAGUGCCAGGGUUGAUUUUUUAGACCAGCGUUUUAAUGAUCAGUCCCUCUCUCUGACAUUGUUUUAAAACUGCAGAGAGGGGACAGCUGUGCUUCACUGGCACAAUGAGACUGCUUUGAAAAUGUUAGUAUUGAAGCUUGAGGCAUUGCGCAUAGCUGGGAUUAAACUGUAGCCCAACUUGCAACUUUUUUUCUUAGUCCCUUUUUUUUUUAUACUACCAAACACCAACCAAAAAUAAGUUUUUUAUUAUGCUUAUAGUGUUUUAAAAAAAAAAUAGCCAGUGUGUCUGGAUUGUCCCAGGAACCCACCAUUGGUAACCCUGAGAACACUAACUAGCUCCGGCGGGGUGGGGGGGGAACAAACAGCUAGCCCGCUUUGGUACUGUAGGUCAGGCAGAUUUUGACAAUAUUAGAAUGCCAAUUAUACCAAUUAGAAUGCAUUAUAUUUCAGUUAUAUGUCUAUUUCAGUUUGUAUAAUAUAUUUAUUCAGGUUGCUUUAUAGGAUUUGUGUGGUGUGUUUUUUUUUUAUUUAUUUCAUUCAUUUAUUUAUUUAUUUAUUUUUUUGGAAAGAUCAAAACCAGAGAAAUUAGCCUUAGGUUCAUACACUCUUUUUUUUUUUUGUAUUAUAUAUAUAUAUAUAUAUAUAUAUAUAUAUAUAUAUUUUUUUUUUUAGGAAGGUUCAACCUGUACAUGUAUAUUUUUUGUCAUGUUGCAGUGACUUUUUGGUGAUGAAAUAUGCUUGUUAGUAAAUUUCUGAAAUAACCCGGAUUAAAGAAAAAUUGGCAAAACUAAGUUGUCCUAAUUACUAAUGCACCAGUACCACAAACUUAGUCAAUAUGCCAUAAAUAUAUAUAUAUAUAUACACAUUGACUUACAUUGGUGUAAGUCAUAAAAUGUCAAAAGAUGGUCAUAAUUUAGGUGCAAACAAUUAUGGGUAUAGUGAUUGUAAUUGAUGUGUAUGUCAUUAAAUACAUAUUGAGUCCUGUUAAAUGUGUAGCUUGUUUUAAGAGCAUUGAGCACAAAAAUAAGUGUGUAGCCUUUUUUGUGUGUAUUUACCUAUUUGUGAGGAUUACAAUCUGGUGAGGUUUUGGUUUUCUGAUUUCACAUAUGCCUGUUGCUUUCCGGCUGCAGGUAUUAUUUAACAACUACUACCCUCCAAGCCCCGGGCUGCUUGUUUUUUCUCUUCAAGGCCCCUGUUUUCAUUGUGUAAGAAAUCAAGAUGGAUUGAGUUGGGUAGUUGCCAUUAGUUUAAUGUACGGAAACUUGGAAAACUUAAAAAACAUGAAAAGGUAAUAAUAGGUAUGCACCAUGAACCACCUGGGCUGACUUCUAAGCACAGGGCAGUGGUUUGAUAAAUACAUAAAUCAAGAUAAUGUUCAUUCGGAUUGCUCUUUAGAAAAACACACUUUGUUAAAAUGUACAUCAAGUUUUGAACAGUGUUGUCUGGAGUUUUGAGCUUCAUUGUUGUAGAAACUUUUUGUGUUUGAGAUAAAAUGUCAGGAAGUGUCUGCAGAGGAUUUAUAAAAAAAGAAAUAAAAAAACUUGUGCCUAUGAUUUACAUAACUUACAUAGUGACUAUUCUUUUGAAUGUGCAUUCAUAUUUUUGUGCCAACUGCUUGAGUUUGCCAUUUUCCUGUACGUAAGUUAAGCUUAAUUUCUGCUUGAGGAAUUAUUUAAUUAUUUUUCUUGUAUUCUUUUGUUUGGUUUUUUGGUUUUUUUUGUAAAAUUUUAAAACCGCUCUUGUAAAAAAAAAAAAAGUAACAAAUUGGAAUACACGGCUUGAUAUAAAAAAAAAAAUGAAAGAAAUUGCUUUAUCUAUAACAAAUGUAUUUAUAUUUAAUUCAACAACUAUUGUAUAUUAUAAUUAUGCUUGGGGGUUUGGGUUGCUAAUGGUAAAAAGACACACCAUGGACUUUAUGUAAUAAUAAUAAUUUUGUUUACAAACUUAUAAUCACCAACAUGAUUAUUAUUUGUCUCAUGUAAAGCCACAUUUCAAAUAAUAAAAUGAAAAAACAUA